UGACCUGAGCUGAAACCGAGAGUUAGAUGCUUAGCCGACUGAGCCACCCAGGGGCCCCAAUACCUUCAGUUCAUUUAUGACCAUCUGGUUCAGGGAUGCACACGUGUACGUGAAUAUAAAAUGAAGGAGGCACAACAUCAUCAUGUCAGGCAUGCUCUCUCUGCCUCUGAUCUCAGAGCUGUUCCUGGCUGCACAAGAGUAGAGGGAGUUGUGAAAGUUCCCCAUCUGCUGGACUGGAAAAUAGUGGUUUCCAGACGGAGUCUCCAGCUGCUAUUCAGUAUUUGUUUCCCACCGUGAAAUUUCCACUCCAGUUUCAACUCUUCAGGACCUUGUCGGUUAACUACUCCUCCGGGCAUGCAUCUGCUUGGGCAACACCAAAGACGCUAAGCCAUAUCUUCAGAUUUCCUGACAUCUGCAUACAUCUGGUCAAGGAGAGGUGUGGCUUCUUCAAAGAUUUUGGAACAUUGCUUCUCGCACCACCCUCUUUCAGCACACCUUCUUCCUGGCUGCCUCCUGCUCUCAGGCCUAAUCUCAACUCUUGGGGGGGUUGGUGAUAGCUGGUGGAUGUUUUGUUGUCUUAUCAUACCUUCUCAUCCUCCUUCUUCAGGUUACAGCACUCUUCCUGUUUGGUAUUCGUUCCCUCUUUUCCUGGUGUUCUUGGUGAGGGUCCCCUCCCCCACUGGUGAGGAGGAUUCCCACCCCCUCACCCCCACAGUCCCGUGACCCAAGCAGGACCAAUCAGGGCCCUAUCUGAACUUCACCUAAGGGAGGUGGGAAAAAAGUCUUCUUUGUGGGUGGAUCUGAGGCUACGGCUCCAGGAAGCCAUCUUCCUGUGUGAGGUGGAGGGAGGCUGUGUGGAGAAACAAGCAGGGUGGGUGUUGGGUGUGGAUGGAAGAGAGAGUGAAUCCUGGUGUUAGGGAAUUCUCUCAGAGGCCUGGUUUCUGCAGCUCACUCUUCAGGCAUGUGAAUAGCCCGAGUAUCCUUCCCAGGUGGAUAGCAGUGCGGGAAGCUGGCGUCUGGAAUCACCACGGUGACUUUGAUUUCCAGCUGUGAGGAAGAACAGGCCCACGUGGCCAUUUCUCCAGCACCAUGAUAUCUAUGGGCACAGAAGAUAUCUGCCGAGAUCAUGGGGGCAGGAUCCGGGGGCAUCCACACUGGAUGCUGGACACUUCCUGCCAGUGCAUUCUAGGGAGAGCUGGCCUCUAGCAUCCUCUGUAGUGACCAACAGAAAUUGAAGAUCGAAACAAUACCUUUUGAAAGAAUUGGCAAAGGAAUACAAGAGGACCCGACACCUAGAUGAUGCAGCUCCUGGUGGACAGAGGUCUUCAGAUGGAAUCCCUACCAUGACCUAAAAAACUCUACAAAAUCUGGCUUUGGCUCUCCACGCAUUCCCCUCUGUCCUCAGUGUCUUUGUUCUGGUUCUUGAAAUGUUUUUGGUCUGCGUCUCCAUGGUUUAUGGUCUGCGUCUCCCCUUGAGACUGUCUUCUCCCAGAUAUUUUUUCAUGCUUCGUGCUUUGUACACCGCGUAUCCUUUUCAGAUUUAUUUUUAUAAAAUAGCAUCCCCCAACCAAUAGUGUUUCUUGACCUUACUUAAUUUUUCAUCUUAACCUCUGACAUCGUAUUACAUAAUUAUUUGAUCAUUUAUUUCUUGCUCUUGUCUCCCACUGAAAUGGAAGACCCACCAGGGCAGGGACAUUACCUACUUCGUUGCUUUAUCCUUCAUGCCUAGAACAGAAUGGCAUAUAGUCCUAGAAUUCUAAAUUGAUGCUCAUUCAUGUGUUCCUCCUGCAUGUUUUCUUUGUGAUUUAAAUUAUUUCUUUCUGCAGGGACAAGAGCUUUGCCUUCUACUUUUAUUUCCUGAAUUUCCUUUGGAUAAUUAAUAAAUAGCUUUGAUCUGCCUUUAUUAUUUCCGUUCAACCAAUUUAUUUGUCAUGGCUUAAAGAACUAGUUAGAAAUUUGGCUGCGGAGAGGUAAGCUAGGUUUUGAAGUCCUCUAAACAUGACUCAGCCGAUUCAUUAUGUAAACUUUGCCACCAUAGACCGUUGAACAUGGGCAAGACUAAGAGAAUUUUGUAAGGGGAUUUAGAGCAGAUGAUGGGAGGGUGGACUCCCUGAUUUGUUUAUUAUUUAUGCUGUACUAGGAAAAACAAUGGUUACUGGUUAUCAUAGUCUAAUUACUGGUUAUUAGACUAUAGACUAUAAGUCCAUGAGGGUAGAGAUCUUGCUCUCUUGCUCACCUGUAUUCAGGACCUAGAAUAGUGUCUAGUAUAUAGUUGGGGUUCAACAGAUGUUUUGAAUGAAUCACCAGAUGAAACAAGGAGUAUUGCCAUUGGGGGAGGGGGCAGGAGGAUACUCUGGAAAGCAA